rnacentral:lncRNA from 1 species
GUGGGGUUUGUUAUGCUUGUGCCGUGGCAACUACCAAUGAGAGGAGCGUAUUUGAAAUACGUCAUGGAGCGCCACCUUCGAAAUGUCCUAUUUGACUUGAACUCAGCUGAUCGUUACUGAACUACCUGGAUCUCAAGCCUUGCCUACUUUUUACACGACUGUGGCUAAUAAGAUUUAAAGAAAAAGAGAAAAUGAGCUCUGGAAAAGCACUGCAGUCGGUGUCUCCUCACUACAACCAACAGCCACCGACACCAAGCCUGGCGAAAAGAAAGAAAAUUCAAGAGAAGUAAUACACUAUACCUAUGCGAGAAUGCUGAUCAUCGACUACAACUCAGCGUUCAACACCAUAGUGCCCACGAAUCUCAUCACUAAGCAAAUUACUCUGGGACUAAACACCUCCCUCUGCAACUGGAUCCUGGACUCCCUGACAGGCCGCCCCCAGCUGGUCUGCAAUAAGGAGUCCAACAGACAAUGUGAUGUCCCCAUGUACAAGACAGCUCAUGAAGAAAGCUAUCAAGGACAUACCGUCAUCUCCCAGACCCAGACGGGAAGCAAAAGAGAACACUGCAAAUAAAUGAAUUACCUUUUUAUGUACAGUGUGAUGUCUUUACGGUAUUCCUCUCUCUGCUAAGAUGGGCAGAUAAAUUAAUCAUUGACACUUUCCUGACAUUCUACCGUCUUUUUAAUAUGUUCUUACUAACCAAGCUGCUCACACUUUAUUGAUCCAUUAUGCAAUGUGGUGUAUAUGGGGGGGUUAUAUUCUUCAUUUAUAUGGUG